rnacentral:rRNA from 1 species
GACGUAGGAUGCGAGCGUUGUUCGGAUUUAUUGGGCGUAAAGCGUGCGUAGGCGGCUAUUUAAGUCUGGUGUUAAAGCUAGGGGCUCAACCCCUGUGUUGCACUGGAAACUGGGUAGCUUGAGUGUGGUAGGGGAAGGUGGAAUUCCUAGUGUAGCGGUGAAAUGCGUAGAUAUUAGGAAGAACACCGGUGGCGAAGGCGACCUUCUGGGCCACUACUGACGCUGAGGCACGAAAGCGUGGGGAGCAAACAGG